AUUGAACGCUGGCGGCAGGCCUAACACAUGCAAGUCGAACGGUAACAGGAAGCAGCUUGCUGCUUCGCUGACGAGUGGCGGACGGGUGAGUAAUGUCUGUGAAGCUGCCUGAUGGAGGGGGAUAACUACUGGAACCGGUAGCUAAUACCGCAUAAUGUCGCAAGCCCAAAGAGGGGGACCUUCGGGCCUCUUGCCAUCGGCUGUGCCCAGGUGGGAUUAGCUUGUUGGUGGGGUAACGGCUCACCAAGGCGACGAUCCCUAGCUGGUCUGAGAGGAUGACCAGCCACACUGGGACUGAGACACGGUCCAGACUCCUACGGGAGGCAGCAGUGGGGAAUAUUGCACAAUGGGCGCAAGCCUGAUGCAGCCAUGCCGCGUGUAUGAAGAAGGCCUUCGGGUUGUAAAGUACUUUCAGCGGGGAGGAAGGGAGUAAAGUUAAUACCUUCGCUCAUUGACGUUACCCGCAGAAGAAGCACCGGCUAACUCCGUG
rnacentral:rRNA from 1 species